UACGGGGGGGGCAAGCGUUGUUCGGAAUUACUGGGCGUAAAGGGCUCGUAGGCGGCCAACUAAGUCAGACGUGAAAUCCCUCGGCUUAACCGGGGAACUGCAUCUGAUACUGGAUGGCUCGAGUUUGGGAGAGGGAUGCGGAAUUCCAGGUGUAGCGGUGAAAUGCGCAGAUAUCAGGAGGAACACCGGUGGCGAAGGCGGUUCUCUGGGCAUUACCUGACGCUGAGGAGCGAAAGUGUGGGGAGCGAACAGG
rnacentral:rRNA from 1 species